CAGGCUACUCCUAAUUUCCUCCAACAAAUCUGAGAACAGAGUCAGUUUCCCUGAGCACAUUAGGAUGGUAAAUGAUGCCACCUGUGGAUA